AUGACUAUUAGCCAUUGUUCUCGUCAUAUCUUUUUAUUUAUUUACAUAGGAACCGGUGUUGCAGCGGGUUUUGGUUUAGGAGGGAACCAGAGGUAUGCAGACAGUUUUGGAGGACACUUAGCACGAGACAACGGUCCGGCAGAGAGUGUUUUCCCCCAGAAGAAUAUGAAUGAAAGACCAACAAAUAAUCCAGAUAUGGCACUGGCACAGCAGCAGGUUUUGUCUGAAGAAACAAACAGCAUUUCAGAGGAACAUCUUGAUCAGCACAGCCUUAUGCUUAAAAAAUAAGCAAGACCAGUAAGCAACCAAGGUAAACAAAUAAAAAAAGUUGUGUGGAGGUUGUGGAUUGUAGCAUGGUAUUCUUACCUGUAUUUUUGGCUUUUUUAUGGUCUCAAUAUAGAAUACUGGGAGCCUGCCUGUGCAAACUGGACCUCAUACAACAGUAAGUACUGUACAUCUAUUUGUUUCUCAAUAUAUUAACGUUACUUUAAUACAAAAUGUGUCACAUGUUUAGUUGCUAG
rnacentral:lncRNA from 1 species